AUUGAACGCUGGCGGCAUGCCUUACACAUGCAAGUCGAACGGUAACAGGUCUUCGGAUGCUGACGAGUGGCGGACGGGUGAGUAAUACAUCGGAACGUGCCCAGACGUGGGGGAUAACGAGGCGAAAGCUUUGCUAAUACCGCAUACGAUCUAAGGAUGAAAGCAGGGGACCGCAAGGGCUUGUGCGGUUGGAGCGGCCGAUGGCAGAUUAGGUAGUUGGUGGGAUAAAAGCUUACCAAGCCGACGAUCUGUAGCUGGUCUGAGAGGACGACCAGCCACACUGGGACUGAGACACGGCCCAGACUCCUACGGGAGGCAGCAGUGGGGAAUUUUGGACAAUGGGCGAAAGCCUGAUCCAGCAAUGCCGCGUGCAGGAUGAAGGCCUUCGGGUUGUAAACUGCUUUUGUACGGAACGAAAAGGCUCUGGCUAAUACCUGGGGCACAUGACGGUACCGUAAGAAUAAGCACCGGCUAACUACGUG
rnacentral:rRNA from 1 species